rnacentral:rRNA from 1 species
AUGGCAGUAGAGUUGUUGAUGCUCCCGGAUGAGCUCUUCGAAGAGAUCCUCCUCCGGCUUCCCCCCGAUGAGCCAGCCUGCCUCCUCCGUGCCUCCCUUGUUUGCAAGGCCUGGGGUUGCGCCGUCACCCGUCCCAGCCUCCGCCGUCGCCUCCACGAGCUCCAUCGUACAACCCCCGUGCUUGGCUUCCUGCACGACCGUCGCGACAAGAGCAUCUCAGACUUCAUCCCUACCACAAUAUCGUCCUUCUCACUCAUCGUUCCAGACCGCCGGUGCUGGCGGGCCCUCGACUGCCGCCACGGUCGGGUCCUCUUUCUCUCUAACUCCAAGGGCCAAAGCACUGAGGAAUUUCUCCUGUGGGAGCCAAUCACGGGUGCCCAACAGCGCAUACCGGUGCCCGUGGCUUAUGACAACAUAAGUGCGAACAUGAUUGUGUACCCACCUGCCGCCGUGUUCUGCACAGCGGACGGGUGCGACCACCACGACUGCCUGGGGGGGCCUUUCUGCGUGUUGUUCAUCUUCUCUGUCAACAACGUAGACACUGAUGACGACACUGACGAUGACGGUGUCACGUGGGCAGGUAUAUACUCGUCAGAAACUGGCACCUGGGGCGAGCUGACCUCAUUGCAACCCUUCUGGCCCAUGUGCUUCACAUUUUAUUCUAGUGUGCUUGUUGGGAGGUCUUUGCUCUACUUCAUGUUUGAUGAUGGGUCCAUCCUAGAGUAUGACCUUGCACGGCACGGUCUGGCUGUGGUUGAUCCACCUGAGUCAGACUACAUCGACCAAUGUAACAUCAUGCUGGUGGAGGACGGUGGACUAGGUGUUAAUGAAGUUGUGAAUUUGCACCUCAAAUUGUGGGCACGGGAGGCGAGUGAUAUCACUGAUGCACGAUGGGUGCUGAGCCGAGUCAUCUACCUCGGCAGUUUGCUCCCAAUUAGUGCUUUCGUGGGUGCAGAGACUAGGGUGCUAGUGUUGGGCUUUGCCGAGGGAGCAAAUGCCAUCUUCGUGACCACGGUUGCUGGCGUCUUCAUGAUCAAACUACAAUCAAAUAGGGUGAGAAAGGUGUGCGAUGAUCAUGGCUUUUGUAAUUUGAUUCCACUUGUCAGCUUCUACACUCCUAUGCCUCGAGUUGAGCACAAGGAUCCGUCGUUGAAGCAUAGUGAGGAGGCAGAUGGUACCGACCAAGAAGGGGAGGAGGAGAAGACAGCAGAUCAUGCACAACAGUUGAUUAACAAUGGGUCCAAUGUUAACAAGGAGGGGGACUUUGUUAACAUCCUUGAAUGCGCUAUCCAUGCCACAGAGAACAGGGUUCCAUCACCUUGUGGGGAAGUUGCUCCAAGGUGUACCAGCACGGUCAACAAAUGUGGAUGCAGCUUGCUAUGUGAAGCUCAAGAGGCGUCUGAUCCUUUGGGCGAUGUCCCCAAGAGUGCACGGAAUGAAGAAUCCGUGAAGAGUUCAGAUAGUAUCAACAAAGAUGGCGCUGGGAACCCAAAAAACCUGCAGUAG